rnacentral:rRNA from 1 species
AUCGAACGCUGGCGGCAGGCCUAACACAUGCAAGUCGAGCGGAUGAAGGGAGCUUGCUCCUGGAUUCAGCGGCGGACGGGUGAGUAAUGCCUAGGAAUCUGCCUGGUAGUGGGGGAUAACGUCCGGAAACGGGCGCUAAUACCGCAUACGUCCUGCGGGAGCAAGUGGGGGAUCUUCGGACCUCACGCUAUCAGAUGAGCCUAGGUCGGAUUAGCUAGUUGGUGGGGUAAAGGCCUACCAAGGCGACGAUCCGUAACUGGUCUGAGAGGAUGAUCAGUCACACUGGAACUUAGACACGGUCCAGACUCCUACGGGAGGCAGCAGUGGGGAAUAUUGGACAAUGGGCGAAAGCCUGAUCCAGCCAUGCCGCGUGUGUGAAGAAGGUCUUCGGAUUGUAAAGCACUUUAAGUUGGGAGGAAGGGCAGUAAGUUAAUACCUUGCUGUUUUGACGUUACCAACAGAAUAAGCACCGGCUAACUUCGUG